rnacentral:lncRNA from 1 species
AUGGCUUUAGGAUCCUUAUAUUUUGUACUCUUACCAAAUUUCCUUUUUUUUCAAUUCAUUCAUCCUAUUUAUUUUAUCUAAUUCCUCUUUUUAAUUAAUUUGUUAUUUCCUAAAUGCCUUUUUCUUUUUAUUCUAUUUAUUAUAAUUUAAUUUACUCCUCUAAUUCUUCUUUUUUUUUUUUAUUUAGCAGAGUUUUUCAUUAUUAAUUUACUUUAGUUCCUUUUACUUAAUUCCUGUACGUAAUAUAGUUCUUCCUCUCACCAAUUCCCCUCGCUUGUUCCCUUAAUUUUAUCGAUUUCGUUAUUGACAUCACUAAUUAUUUUUUUCAUCGAUGCCCUUAAUUCUCAUUAACUUUUACUUCAUGUUUUGCGUCUUGCUCAAAUUGUUUUCACGCCACGAACUCGAAUAAUUAUACAAUUAUAUAAUUACAUGAAUUUAACUAACGCCAGAAAAUCUUAAGCAAUGCAACGAAAGCAAAAGUUCAAGUGUCCUGAACUCCAUUCCCGGCCAUCCACACUAAUUGUGGACUCUUUCUCUCGAAUG